rnacentral:rRNA from 1 species
UGGGGAAUCUUGCACAAUGGGGGAAACCCUGAUGCAGCGACGCCGCGUGAGCGAUGAAGGUUUUCGAAUCGUAAAGCUCUGUCCUAUGGGAAGAUAAUGACGGUACCAUAGGAGGAAGCCCCGGCUAACUACGUGCCAGCAGCCGCGGUAAUACGUAGGGGGCGAGCGUUGUCCGGAAUUACUGGGCGUAAAGGGUUCGCAGGCGGCAUGACAAGUCCGAUGUAAAAGGCGAAAGCUCAACUUUCGUAAGCAUCGGAAACUGUCAAGCUUGAGUGAAGGAGAGGCAAGUGGAAUUCCUAGUGUAGCGGUGGUAUGCGUAGAUAUUAGGAGGAAUACCGGUGGCGAAGGCGACUUGCUGGACUUCAACUGACGCUGAGGAACGAAAGCGUGGGUAGCAAACAGG